rnacentral:rRNA from 1 species
AGAGUUUGAUCCUGGCUCAGGAUGAACGCUGGCGGCGUGCUUAACACAUGCAAGUCGAACGAAGCACUUUAUUUGAUUUCCUUCGGGACUGAUUAUUUUGUGACUGAGUGGCGGACGGGUGAGUAACGCGUGGGUAACCUGCCUUGUACAGGGGGAUAACAGUUGGAAACGGCUGCUAAUACCGCAUAAGCGCACAGCAUCGCAUGAUGCAGUGUGAAAAACUCCGGUGGUAUAAGAUGGACCCGCGUUGGAUUAGCUAGUUGGUGAGGUAACGGCCCACCAAGGCGACGAUCCAUAGCCGACCUGAGAGGGUGACCGGCCACAUUGGGACUGAGACACGGCCCAAACUCCUACGGGAGGCAGCAGUGGGGAAUAUUGCACAAUGGGCGAAAGCCUGAUGCAGCGACGCCGCGUGAGCGAAGAAGUAUUUCGGUAUGUAAAGCUCUAUCAGCAGGGAAGAUAAUGACGGUACCUGACUAAGAAGCACCGGCUAAAUACGUGCCAGCAGCCGCGGUAAUACGUAUGGUGCAAGCGUUAUCCGGAUUUACUGGGUGUAAAGGGAGCGCAGGCGGUGCGGCAAGUCUGAUGUGAAAGCCCGGGGCUCAACCCCGGUACUGCAUUGGAAACUGUCGUACUAGAGUGUCGGAGGGGUAAGCGGAAUUCCUAGUGUAGCGGUGAAAUGCGUAGAUAUUAGGAGGAACACCAGUGGCGAAGGCGGCUUACUGGACGACCACUGACGCUGAGGCUCGAAAGCGUGGGGAGCAAACAGUAAGAGAUACCCUGGUAGUCCACGCCGUAAACGAUGACUAUAAGGGGUUGGCAGGUAAGACCUGUCGGUGCCGCAGCUAACGCAAUAAGUAUUCCACCUGGGGAGUGCGUUCGCGAGAAUGAAACUCAAAGGAUAUUGAAGGGGACCCGCACAAGCGGUGGAGCAUGUGGUUUAAUUCGAAGCACCGAGAAGAACCUUACCAAGUCUUGACAUCCCGAUGACAGAGUAUGUAAUGUACUUUCUCUUCGGAGCAUCGGUGACAGGUGGUGCAUGGUUGUCGUCAGCUCGUGUCGUGAGAUGUUGGGUUAAGUCCCGCAACGAGCGCAACCCCUAUCCCCAGUAGCCAGCAUUUCGGAUGGGCACUCUGUGGAGACUGCCAGGGACAACCUGGAGGAAGGUGGGGAUGACGUCAAAUCAUCAUGCCCCUUAUGACUUGGGCUACACACGUGCUACAAUGGCGUAAACAAAGGGAAGCGAGACCGCGAGGUGGAGCAAAUCCCAAAAAUAACGUCCCAGUUCGGAUUGUAGUCUGCAACUCGACUACAUGAAGCUGGAAUCGCUAGUAAUCGCAGAUCAGAAUGCUGCGGUGAAUACGUUCCCGGGUCUUGUACUCACCGCCCGUCA